rnacentral:rRNA from 1 species
AUUGAACGCUGGCGGCAUGCUUUACACAUGCAAGUCGAACGGGGUGAGGGGGCAACUCCUCAUUCAGUGGCGAACGGGUGAGUAAUGCAUCGGAACGUGUCCCGUAGUGGGGGAUAACUCGGCGAAAGCCGUGCUAAUACCGCAUAUGCUCUACGGAGGAAAGUGGGGGACCUGAAAGGGCCUCACGCUAUGGGGGCGGCCGACGUCCGAUUAGCUUGUUGGCGGGGUAAUGGCCCCACCAAGGCGACGAUCGGUAGCUGGUCUGAGAGGAUGAUCAGCCACACUGGGACUGAGACACGACCCAGACUCCUACGGGAGGCAGCAGUGGGGAAUUUUGGACAAUGGGGGCAACCCUGAUCCAGCCAUGCCGCGUGCGGGAAGAAGGCCU